AUAUUAUGAUUUCAUAGUUUUCACAUGAUGUAAGUCGCUUGCAAAACUAUCAUCAGUUCCAUUCUUGCUCACAAGAUUUCCAUACCCAUAACCAUAGCGAAAGUCGUGCAGAAAAGGAAGUUUAAGAAAGCCAUGAACACUCUCAGCAUUGUGUUGAUUCUUUUGGUAUUUUACGAGUCAGUCGGUAUGGAACGAAUGAAUGGAGAAUGUAUGACUUCAAAGUUGGAAAAGAAAACAAAAAAGGGCCUAGGUUUGAUUUUUUGUGGAUGGGUAGGACACCGUCGUCAUCAUCGGAAAUUUUUUUGUGACGAUGACCAAAGAUGCUGUAAAUAUAAUCCAAGAAUAUCCUAUGAUAAAGUCUAUUUUUGUUGUGAUAUACCAUGUGGGAAUUGUUGUGGUGGUGGUUGGUGCUGUCCACCUGGUGCUGUAUGUGAUGAUGUACAUAAAUGUGCUUUUCAACAAAAUACGACCAAACAUUUUAGUAAAUGAACAUAUUUUGUCGCGUACAAUGAUCUUCUCAUUUUUAAAAUUUGGAAAUAAUAGUAAAGUUUUGUCUUACGAUUAAUUUAUUUUAUAUAUUGAUACAACUUAUAAAUUAUAACAAAUCAAGUCUCCAGCUCAGGUGUAAACUAAGUUGUGCACCUCUGGUGAUCAAUAUAUAUAUAUAUAUAUUUUCUAAUUACAAGUGUUUUUACGGUUUCUUAA